GGGGGCGAACUGGUUUCGACGGGGGUGAGGAAACGAAUGCUGCGUGUCGGGGGUCCUGUUCACCCCGUGACCCGAGCAGGACUGCUUAACUGCAGACAAUAACUUCGCACUGGCUGCCUAAUAGGCCGCCACGCUCGACCGGCCUGCGCCCGUAGGGCUGGCUCGAGCGUCAUACUUCGGGCUGGGCCCCCGCGAGUGCCGGCGGCGCGGGGGCUGAGACUGAAUGCCGGCUGGCCGCGUGAGAUCCUGCCUGCGGGAGCGAGCGCGGUGACAACAAACCACAGGCUACACACGUAGACGUGCUCGUGGAUGCACCUUCGGACGGGGGUUCGAUUCCCCCCGCCUCCACUC
rnacentral:tmRNA from 1 species